UCCGAGUUGACCCCGGCAGUCUUCGAUGAGUCCCCGCCAUAACGCGCUGGCAACAUCGAACGAGGGUUGCGCUCGUUGCGGGACUUAACCCAACAUCUCACGACACGAGCUGACGACAGCCAUGCACCACCUGUCACCGGCCCCGAAGGACCCCGCAUCUCUGCGAGAUUUCCGGCGAUGUCAAACCCAGGUAAGGUUCUUCGCGUUGCAUCGAAUUGAACCACAUGCUCCACCGCUUGUGCGGGUCCCCGUCAAUUCCUUCGAGUUUCAACCUUGCGGCCGUACUCCCCAGGCGGGGCACUUAAUGCGUUAGCUUCGGCACGGAGAACGUGGAAUGUUCCCCACACCUAGUGCCCACCGUUUACGGCGUGGACUAC
rnacentral:misc_RNA from 1 species